CAGAGUUAUGCUGUGCGUGUCCACGAUUGCUGUUUGUGUGUAAUUUAAAUAGCAUCCAGGGAGUUGGGUGUUAAUGCAGGAUUGCGUGAAUGUGUGAGGGUGGCUGAGCUACCGCACCGCAUAUAUAGACGAGGCCUGUUCACGUGGAAGAAGUGUUAUAUUACUGUGUAAUAUCAGAAACACAAGGAAAAAAUGCCACUACCGUAUUAUUGUUGCUGGUGUUUUAUUUUGACAUUGUUGUAUAUUAUUGCACACAAAAAGAGAUGACAAGUUGUUAUAUUAUCUUUAUUUUGGGGUGAACAAUUUGAUGUGUAAUCCAAGGAUAUUUUUGACAUUGUAUUUUGAUUUGUUCUGGGUUUUCUGUCCCAAAUACUUAAAUGAAACUAAAUAGAAACUCCUAACCAAUUACAAGGAAUAAAAAUACUAACCUCACUCAUAUUUGUUGGUCGUGUGUAUCAUUUUCCUGUGGCCACAAUUUUGGUACCAGGAGUGGGGUAUUCCAAGAGAGUUGGGAGAGUAAAGUUUUUUUUCAUUGUUGUGUGCAAUAUAAGGAAAUGUUGUAAAAUAAUACGGUAGUGGUGAAGAGAAGACUGAAGAUUCCUGCAGGCGAGGAGAGAUUCUGGUGGUGAGGAGAGCAACGGAUCGUCGUGGAGCAUCGCAGGCCCAGCCCGAUCUCAUUGGCCAGGGGCUAAAAGAUUAUUUGACAACUGUUGCAUCAGAUCAGAAGGACUUCAAGCACUUAUCCUUUUCAGAGUUUUGCAUAAAGACUUUUAAGGACUUGAUAUUUCACAAUGUCAGAUCCUGAUGAUGACCAUAGCGGAGCAAAUUUAGCAGAACAAAUCAGAGAUGAUGAUCAUGGUAGACCUAAUUUAACAGAUCAAAUUAGAGAGUUGCAAAGUAAACAUGACCAAGCAAUGGCUGCGAUUUCCUCACUUAAUCAGCGGUCUUAUGUGUAUGUUACUAGAGAAAGGCACAUAUUACCAUAUUGUGGUGAUAUGGAGAAAGACGGCAGGUCAGUUGAUGAUUUUAUAGAGGAAGUCGAGCGGGUUCUGCGUGCUAGGCAUCAGUCUGACCAAGAUCAGUAUGAUUUUGUUAUGUCUCUGUUAAGGGGCACGGCAUUAGAAGAGGUGCGUCUUCGCAGUGUUACUGACGAUGGGGUUGACGA